rnacentral:rRNA from 1 species
CCUACGGGAGGCAGCAGUGAGGAAUAUUGGUCAAUGGACGUAAGUCUGAACCAGCCAUGCCGCGUGCGGGAUGAAGGCUCUAUGAAUUGUAAACUUCUUUUAUACGGGAAUAAAGCUUGGUACGUGUAUUCUUCUGUAUGUACUUUACGAAUAAGGAUCGGCUAACUCCGUGCCAGCAGCCGCGGUAAUACGGAGGAUCCGAGCGUUAUCCGGAUUUAUUGGGUUUAAAGGGUGCGUAGGCGGCUUUUUAAGUUAGCGGUGAAAGGUUGUGGCUUAACAAUGGAAUUGCCUUUAAUACUGGUGAGCUAGAGAAUGUAUGAGGCAGGCGGAAUGUGUGGUGUAGCGGUGAAAUGCUUAGAGAUCACACAGAACCCCGAUUGCGAAGGCAGCCUGCCAAGCCAUGACUGACGCUGAUGCACGAAAGCGUGGGGAGCAAACAGGAUUAGAUACCCUAGUAGUC